UACGGAGGGGACUAGCGUUGUUCGGAAUUACUGGGCGUAAAGCGCGCGUAGGCGGAUUUGCAAGUCGGGGGUGAAAGCCCGAGGCUCAACCUCGGAACUGCCCUCGAUACUGCAAAUCUCGAGUCCGAGAGAGGUAAGUGGAAUUCCUAGUGUAGAGGUGAAAUUCGUAGAUAUUAGGAAGAACACCAGUGGCGAAGGCGGCUCACUGGCUCGGUACUGACGCUGAGGCGCGAAAGCGUGGGGAGCAAACAGG
rnacentral:rRNA from 1 species